rnacentral:lncRNA from 1 species
AAACCUUAAUUUUCCACACAUCAGGCGCAUUUAUGAAGCACGAUCGCAUGAUCCUAAUUUUGUCAGACAAUUUACCACGUGGCAUCUUUUUGGCAUGUUCGUCCUUGACACUAAAACGUCUUCUCAAACCCCAAAACCCUACCACACGCUAUCAUUAUAACCUCAAACUGUGAAUUUUCCAGUCUGUUUGAGUCGUGCACAUAAUCAAACGUCUACUCAUCAUUGAAUCUGCCGUCACAUGCCAUCGUGUAGCCUCGAUCUGCAAGUUUCUUGGUUACUUCAUAAGGAUUUCCCGAAUGACAUGCCCCGACCCCGAUAUUCC